rnacentral:snRNA from 1 species
GGACCGGGUGUCCCCUUCCUCCCUCACCGCUCCAUGUGCGUCCCUCCCGAAGCUGUGCGCUCGGUCGAAGAGGAUGGCUGUCCCCGAUAGAGAAGCACCGAACUCCGUUCAAGAGUAUACGAGUAGCUGCGCUCCCCUGCUAGAACCUCCAAACAAGCUUCAAGUACGUAGGGUAGUCAAGCUCCAAAUCUUCAAGCACAUCCAAGUGUGGCGCUGCACGUGGCAGUCUGCCUUCCUUU